UAAAAAAAAAAUCAUUUGUUAAACAACGUUAAGAAUUUUUAUUUGCAACAGCACAUAAUGUGGUCAAGCUGAAUGUUUUCUGGUUUUGUGAAUCAUCAAAUUCCCUUCACCAUGUAAUGUUAAUAGGGAGAAAACACUGUUUGGAAACAAGAUGUAUCAUAAUAGAUGUAUCAUUUCAAUUCAGGUUCCCUGUGGGCCACCAUUUUGAUUUACACCAUUGUCAAAACUAUAUACCUUACCAUAAUAUGGACAUUUUCAUUAGAAAUUGUCCUUAGAAAUGAGAGGAUUCUAAAUGAUCUUUUUGAUCUUUUUUUUUUUUGGUUGGUCAUUUGCUUCAUUUUCUUAAGAAAUCCUACAUUUGCCAGCUUGGAAGUAAUAGAAAGACAUUUAGUAAUACUUUAUUACUGCACUUUUCUGAACAGGAGCAAGCUUAAAAACACUCCUUUUGUUCAGAUAUUCUGUGCAUGGACCAUUGAAGGUAACAAAGCGAGAUUGCCCAUGCAAUUCUCUUCAAUGCACUGAUCAAAUGAGAGGGUGUUAUCCCUUUGAGAAAAUAGAAAGGUAUAGAUUUCACAUAACAUCCUGAAACAGUCAAGAUGGCGUCUCAAAGACAGAAAAAGCAAUGUCUGCUGCUCUGAGAUUAACUUCUGAUAUUCUGCAUUCAGAGAUAAAGAAACUGAUGACAAAACUUCUCCUAUGGAGAUUCAUGUUCUUAAGAAAUUUCAUUUUUUCUUAACUUCUUUAAAAGUAUCCUUGCUGUCAUCACUCAUUUCUUGGUGAGCACAAGUCAAAAGGCCCAGUUCUAAGUAAAGCCAGUUAUGGGUUUGGUGCUCUCUAAAGAUAAUAUAAUAUUUUCCCUUAUGCUGCAGGGACAAUAUAGAGGAGAAAGUCUGGUUUAGUCUAGUGAGAAACAGUUCAUUUGUCUUUGUAGUUGCCAGGCCUUUUGGUCUACUCCCUUGGUCUUGCAUCUUCCAAAAGGAAUGCUGUGACUGCAGCCAUCUCUUACCGGCUCAGACUUUUCAAAUGGUGCCAGGUCCUCCUUGCUGCUGUUGCUUUACUUCCUACUUGAUACACUCAGGCAAAUACUUGUUUUUCUCACCACAAUUAGUACUUAAUGAUGCCAUGGAAUGCAGAAUGUGGAAUUGUGUGGACCAAACAUCUCAUUUAAUUUAUGAUCCUUUCAAA